GCAGCAGGCAGGGGCUACUCUUCGUUGUGGUGCGCGGGCUUCUCAUUGCGGUGGCUUCUCAUUGCAGAGCACGGGCUCUAGGUGCGCGGGCUUCAGUAGUUGUGGCACGUGAGCUUAGUUGCUCUGCGGCAUGUGGGAUCUUCCUGGACCAGGGCUCGUAUCCUUGUACCCUGCACUGGCAGGCCGAUUCCUAACCACUGCGCCACCAGGGAAGUCCAAGAUAGAGGUUUCUUUCUCAUGUGAAAGUCCGGGGAAUGGCAGCUGCUUGAUCAUGAGACCCAGGCUCCUUAUUCUUCCAUCUUCAACAUGCAGGUUCCACCUCAUGGUCCAAGAUGAUUGCUCCUGCCCCUGCCAUCAGGUCAGCAUACUAGUUAGUGGGGAGAAGAUAAAGGGACAGAGCCCCAUUCCAAGCUCACCCUUCUUUGAAGGACACCUCCCAGAAGUUGCACAUACCACAUUCACUCACAUCCCAUGGAAAGGUGGGAAUCUUAGCUUUUUUUUUUUCCCCCAAGGUGGACACAGUCCCAGCUAAAAACCAUGUGUUCUGUAACUGUAAAAGAAAGGGGAAAAAACGCAGCUUCUGCUGUUGAUGCUGAAAUAGGUAUGCAGAUAGCUAUAGUGCAAGGCUAAAAUGAAAGUGUGACAGUUACACGUACUAGCUCUGUGACAUGAGGCAGGUUACUUAACCUUUCUGUGCCUCGGUUUCUUCAUUCAUAAAAUGAUGAGGUUAAUAGUAGCACCUACCUCUUAGGUUUACCUAAAGGUAACCUAAAUUGUUACAUAUGUAUGUAAUAUGUUUCAUAUGUACAUACAUACAUAAUGGUUACAUAAAGUGAGUUGAAAGUCCUUAGAACAGUGCCUGGCACUUAAGUAAGUGCUAUAUAGUGUUUAUUAAAAACAAAGUAAAAAUAAGCACAAAUGGAAAUUUCAAGAAUGUACAUAUCGGUGGGGAAAAAUCUGAAAAAAUAUUUUAUGAAGAAAUGUAGAGUGUCAGCUCAGUGAUGCCUGGGAUGGUCUCAUUCCUUCCCUGGGCACCGCCAGCACCUGGCACAUUGCCUUGCACAGAGUAGAUGCUCAAACUACUGGUUUCUGAAUGGGCUUGAAAGGUCAGUAGUAUUUUGUUAGGUGAGUUGGAGGCAAGGAAAAUAUUUUAGGUGGAGUUACCCAUAUGAACAAAGAUAAAAGGUGAAAACUCACUGUAUCCAGCACAGUAGCUGGCAUGCACAGCACUUGGUAUAUGUUGACUGACCACUCAAUAUCAACUAGUUUGGUUUGGCUGAAAUCUGUCGGGUCUAGGCAGAAAGACACAUCACUUUAGAGAAUUUAAUAUGGGGAAUUGUCACACAGGUGAUGAAAGUGUAGGCAACCCAGAUAUUGCAAUAGUAGGAAACCUCUAUCACCCCUAGUGCCAGGGGGAUAAUGAGAGGAGACGGUGUUCCCAGAACCCAGAAUCCUGGGGUAUCCAAUGGUGGGAGGUUGCCUGGUGGGAGGUGGGAGAUGGCAGAGCUGCAACCUAACCCAAGGCAGAGAGGGAGAGAAAUACCCUGACUUCUUGCUUCUCCUCCCCUUGUCUUAGGUCAGUGUCUCACUGCAAAGUCAUUUGGCAUCUGGGAAAUGUCAUUUCCUGUAGUCGAGAGCAGAGCAGUGAGAGAAAUAGGCAGAUGACCAGCACAAAUGAAGUUUGGAGCAUGAGCGGGGAGUGAUGAAUAUAAACCCCUGGUGGUGUCAUUUUAGUCUUGAAUGUCAGAUCUUGAAUGUAGGGGUUUCCUCAUGUUUUGUUAGGCAGAGGUAGGCCAUAGAAGGUAAAAAAGCAAAAAGGCAUCAUUAAAACUGUUUUAGGAAGGCUUCCCCAAUGGGGAAGAUGGAGAACAGGGAAUAGUAGCUUCCCUUUGAGUACCUGUCACGUGCUAGGCACGGUGCUAAGCACUUAUUCAUCUCAGAAAGAUGAUGUAUCUGGUUCUGGAUAUGUUGAGUUUGAGAUGACGUCACGAUACAUGUAUGGGCGUAUCACAUAGAACAGGAACUGUGCAUCUGGAGCAGGGGUGUAGAAGUGUAAGGAUGGAGACUUUGGAGCCUUCCGCGGAGAGGUGAGAGCAAUGCAGAAGGAGAGGGAGGACGAGACAUUCAAGUUAGACAGUAUAGCGGAAGAAGCUAAGAGGGUAGGCAUUAUGGGGGACCAACGAGCAGUGGGCAGAGUAAGAAAACCAGUGAAGGGAAAAAGAAUAAAGGGAUAGGAGAAGCUGAAAGUUCAUCUUCCCGCAGGAGCAAAGGGAAGCUGGAGCUUCAAGAAGGAAAGUCAGGAGUGUCAAAUAACAUUUCCUUGCCAGAAGAGAUGAAGACAGAGGGAAAAGCUAUUGAAUAUAGCAGCUGGAUGCAUGGAGGAAUCGUUUCUCUAGACAGAACUUCAAUACAUUGCAUGGGGUUUGAGGUCAGGAUUUUGGUGCCUGAAACCUACCAGCUCCUGCUUUGCAAUUCUGCCAAGGAGGUUGUAAUCAUAAGGAAGAUGAGCCAAUGGAAAAGAGAGUAUACCACUCAUGGAACAGCUUUAGAGGAGCAGCCCCGACCGCAGGAUUUCUCAGGAAAGAUGACUGCCUACAAUGUAGAGGAUGGACCAAAAGGGAGAGCAGACCUGGAGGCAAAGGACUAUUACAGUAAUCCAUGAGUGACAAGAAAGGUAGCCAAGAAGAACGAAAUGAACUUGAGAGCUACCAGAGGGUGAAUCAAUUGGACUUUCAUCUGAAAACACUUUGGAAACCAACUUUUAACUUGUUUUCAGAAUAAAGAACCUUGAAAAAAAGAAGAGUUUGGUGUACAUGAGUCCCUCUUUCCUGCCCCAUCCUGCAAGGAGUCUUGCUCUUAGGCUAAUAAUACUCAUAUAUGGUACACCCAUCUUGUAAGUUUCAUAAUUUUUAGAGAAGAAAUUAUGAAAAACUAGUUACCGUUCGGAAACCUAGUUACCGUCUGGAACACCAUCUUUCUAUAUGGAAAGCCAUUACAAGCUGGUGGCUGUCUGAAUUGGGUUCUGGCCAUUAUUAUACGGCCCAAGCAGAUGUGCUCUGUAAAUAUUCAUUUAAGAGUAAACAAAUCACUAUAGUGCUUUCCAAACUAAAAUCCUCAGAACAUCACUACCAUUAUUCUGUUUGCUUCAUACCUGGAAGUACUUGGGGAAGCCGUCUCUAUCAUUUUUCUUGUAAAACCUUUUUGGGUCCAUGCUAGCUCUCAUCUUCAGUGCUUUGAGAUCAUUUUUCAGUUCAUCUGUCAGUUCUGGAGCUUUCAUACCAAACCAGCCAUCACCUGCUGUUUUUUGUCGCUCUUGCUGAAAUUCAAAUUUCAGAAACAAUUAGAAAAUUCUGAUUUUAAUAAGCAGUGUAUAAACUAUACCUCACUCCCCCUAAAAUUAUAAAGAAAAUUUCAUGAAAAACAAAUAAGGUUACUUUACAGGAAUGUAUAUAUUAUCUCCAGAUUCACCUUUCAUAAAAUGAUUAGAUCACAAAAAGUGAUUUCUCUGAUAAAUCAGGCACAGCACUGUCAGUUUCUUAAAUGAGGGCUCCUUAAAAUUUACUUUGUAUCUUAGUAAGAACUGCUGACUUGUUGGGAGAGUAACCGACAGCUUCAAUUUUCAUUGUCUAGAAUACCCUACACAAGGUGUAAUGUAUAAAAAACAUUUUUACUUCUGGAGCUUUUAUGUAAACAUUAACACUUUUACUGAGUCACCGAGUUGUCUCAGAAAGUUACUCACUCCAGCAAGUCCAGAAAUUUCUAUUAUUUCUAAAAUUCAAAAACUUUCUGUUUUUUGAAAACUCCUAGCAAGUUAUUUGCUUAAUUUCAUUUUUUGUUCAUUCACACAACAAAUAUUGGAGUGUUUACCAUAUGCCAGGGUGCUCUGGUCAUAUUAGUGACAUUACUGGAGCACCAUCCUCAAAUUUCCUCUUAAGCUCUCUCAAUAAUUUCUUUAUCCUUAUUAGUUGAAAUGGAAGUAGUCCCCUGUAUUUUACUAAAGAAAAUACCUUCUAUGCUUUCAGUUGGCAGACUAAAUAGGCCAGUGUUUUUAAUGGUUACAUCCAGUUCCCUACAAAAGCCCACAACGGAGCUCCCAGCCUUCUGUGAACAGUACCCAUAAGCCAAGAGGUGUGGUGUGGACAGUGACCUCAUAUGCUGGCUGCCACUGUUUUUAAGGAUGGUAAAAAAGAGCUUUCACUUUGUGAAAAUCUAUAAGAAACGCUGUUUAUGGAACCAUAUUUUACGGGCUCUUAGAUAUCUGUAACAAUUUUCUUUGGAAACGUAUAUAUUUUAGUUGUACAGCCAUGUUAGAUAAACUGAACAUAUAUAGUCAAACACAUUAAACAUUCUAAAUAAUGAGUCACUGUACUCACUCUGCGUUUUUUCUGAAGUUUAUACUUUGAUUCACUAUAUGGUGGGACACAGUAGUUUUUUUCAAAAUCAGGAGUAAUGACGGCUUUCUGCAAAAGCUGCAAAAAUAUUAAACUGGUUUUAAAAUGUCAGAAUGUCAUUAUUGUUUCAACAUUAUUGCCUUAUAAAGGAAACAUCUCCCACACUGAAGACUACUCCAGAUAUAUUAACCUUCUAUAUGGACAAACAUACUACUGCAAAGCUGCUCCUGUCCUUAAAUUUGUAAAUUAUAUCAAAAUAAAAAUGCUUUAGAAGACAAACUGAAGGGUUUAGGCAAUCUAUAAAAUCAAUAUUCAUCUCAAAUUUCUUCUUCUAAUCUGAAUCUGCACACACCAGAUAUACGUUAACGUGUCCACCUGCAUUUCAUUGGUUUGCAACCAGCCACCUGCACCAACCAACUGGAAACGAAAGACAAUAGGAACAAUGCCAUAGAGUUCUUGAACUCCCUGGAAAAAAACCUGACUAGGCUUUAAUAAGUUCUUCGAUGCUGGUAAAACCGCUUUCUGUGAUCUGAGGAGACCAGCUAGACUACUGAUAAGAAACAGCAGUAUAGAUUUUGAUUAAACAACAUAUGCUUUUUAUGGUAUACCAAUGAAAUUAUGCCAUCGAGCAAAUCUGCUUUUGGCAACCCAACAAUAUAUCAAAGAUGCUCUUUCAAU